AUUGAACGCUGGCGGCAGGCCUAACACAUGCAAGUCGAGCGGCAGCGACUUAACUGAACCUUCGGGGAACGCUAAGGGCGGCGAGCGGCGGACGGGUGAGUAAUGCCUGGGAAUAUGCCCUGAUGUGGGGGAUAACUAUUGGAAACGAUAGCUAAUACCGCAUAAUCUCUUCGGAGCAAAGAGGGGGACCUUCGGGCCUCUCGCGUCAGGAUUAGCCCAGGUGGGAUUAGCUUGUUGGUGAGGUAAUGGCUCACCAAGGCAACGAUCCCUAGCUGGUCUGAGAGGAUGAUCAGCCACACUGGAACUGAGACACGGUCCAGACUCCUACGGGAGGCAGCAGUGGGGAAUAUUGCACAAUGGGGGAAACCCUGAUGCAGCCAUGCCGCGUGUGUGAAGAAGGCCUUCGGGUUGUAAAGCACUUUCAGUAGGGAGGAAGGUAGUGUAGUUAACACCUGCACUAUUUGACGUUACCUACAGAAGAAGCACCGGCUAACUCCGUGCCAGCAGCCGCGGUAAUACGGAGGGUGCGAGCGUUAAUCGGAAUUACUGGGCGUAAAGCGCAUGCAGGCGGCCUGUUAAGUCAGAUGUGAAAGCCCGGGGCUUAACCUCGGAAUUGCAUUUGAAACUGGCAGGCUAGAGUCUUGUAGAGGGGGGUAGAAUUUCAGGUGUAGCGGUGAAAUGCGUAGAGAUCUGAAGGAAUACCAGUGGCGAAGGCGGCCCCCUGGACAAAGACUGACGCUCAGAUGCGAAAGCGUGGGGAGCAAACAGG
rnacentral:rRNA from 1 species